rnacentral:rRNA from 1 species
UACAGAGGUCCCAAGCGUUGUUCGGAUUCACUGGGCGUAAAGGGUGCGUAGGUGGUUAGGUAAGUCUGAUGUGAAAUCUCUGGGCUCAACCCAGAAACUGCAUUGGAUACUAUCUAGCUAGAGGAGUGGAGGGGGGACUGGAAUACUUGGUGUAGCAGUGAAAUGCGUAGAUAUCGAGAGGAACACCAGUGGCGAAGGCGAGUCUCUGGACGACUCCUGACACUGAGGCACGAAAGCUAGGGGAGCAAACAGG